AUUGAACGCUGGCGGCAUGCUUUACACAUGCAAGUCGAACGGUAACAGGCCGCAAGGUGCUGACGAGUGGCGAACGGGUGAGUAAUGCAUCGGAACGUGCCCAGUCGUGGGGGAUAACGCAGCGAAAGCUGUGCUAAUACCGCAUACGAUCUAUGGAUGAAAGCGGGGGACCGUAGGGCCUCGCGCGAUUGGAGUGGCCGAUGUCAGAUUAGGUAGUUGGUGGGGUAAAGGCCUACCAAGCCGACGAUCUGUAGCUGGUCUGAGAGGACGACCAGCCACACUGGGAAUGAGACACGGCCCAGACUCCUACGGGAGGCAGCAGUGGGGAAUUUUGGACAAUGGGCGCAAGCCUGAUCCAGCAAUGCCGCGUGCAGGAAGAAGGCCUUCGGGUUGUAAACUGCUUUUGUACGGAACGAAACGGUCUGGGUUGAUACCCUGGGCUAAUGACGGUACCGUAAGAAUAAGCACCGGCUAACUACGUGCCAGCCGCCGCAGUAAGAC
rnacentral:rRNA from 1 species